GUGAAUCAUCAAAUUUUUGAACGCAAAUUGCACUCUCUUCUAAGAGUAUGCCUGUUUGAGUGUCAGCCUAAAAAAAAUCGACAUCGUUGCUGUUUCGCGGGGGCGGUCGUCGGAAAUUGGUGCAUCUUAAAUCUUUUGUGUUUAAGCUGCUUAUAGUACUCUACGGUUCCAUGAACGAUUCUA
rnacentral:misc_RNA from 1 species